UACGUAGGCAGCGAGCGUUGUUCGGAGUUACUGGGCGUAAAGAGCUCGUAGGCGGCUUGUCGCGUCGUCCGUGAAAACCCACAGCUCAACUGUGGGCUUGCGGUCGAUACGGGCAGGCUAGAGUUCGGUAGGGGAGACUGGAAUUCCUGGUGUAGCGGUGAAAUGCGCAGAUAUCAGGAGGAACACCGGUGGCGAAGGCGGGUCUCUGGGCCGAUACUGACGCUGAGGAGCGAAAGCGUGGGGAGCGAACAGG
rnacentral:rRNA from 1 species